AUCAAGAGCUGCCAACAGCUAGGCCCAGUGAAAUGUGGAAAUCACUCAUGUCUUCCUACCUUGUAAUAAGCCUAACCUCUUAGGUUAUUUCCUGGCCUCCCUUCUGUGACCUUUGACCAAGGCCAACCUUUAGCUGGAGAAUGUGACAUUUUGUUCUCCUCUGGCUGACAUGUGAUGCUCUCAUUAUUCAAAGAUUAUCUCCUUUUGAUAUCUCUGCUUAGAGGAAUACAGAAUGUGGCCACAUGUUACUCUUCUACCAAUGUCAGGAUAAAGCAUGCAUUAGGAUCCCUCAGUGGAGAACUAUGUCCAUUCCAUGCUCCUUCCAACUAGUUUGAGAAAUGGCUCCAAAUUUUCCUUAAUAUUAUUCUGAAUUGCUCUAUGAAGUAAAUGUCAGGCAUUUUAUUUCCAUUUCCCUAAAAUAGAGAAUGGGUUGCUAGGGAAAAUGCCUAAGCCAGCCAUAAAGCAUUUCCAAAGGGAGGACAUAGUGAAUAAAAAAUGUUAAUUCCUGUCUUGUUUAACAAGCUCUCAUGGCAGCUCCAAGGGGUAGUAAAAUUUAUACUCCUACCAGGACAGCUCUAGACUAUGGCAUCAGCAUGGGAUGGAAAGUAGCCCUGGGAAACAGAAUAGUGUGGUUGCCUGCUACCCUUUACUUAUCUGAAUAGUUUGUCUCUGCUGUGCCCAGGAGGUUUGCACCUCAUGGGGUGGGAGGUGGUGCAAUCAGGUAAGAAUGCUCUUUACUUACUCCUUUGUCGGAAAAAGGAUGACUGUAAUGUGUGGGCUGGAGUGGAGUGGAACUGAGUUUAAAAUCUGCAGUAACAUAAAAUUAAAGACUAGGUAUUAACAAUGGCUUUGCACUCUGAGUUGCCAUGGGCUGAGAGGGACAGCUGGACAGCCAGAGGGAUUCCAGAGGGACUUGGCAGGACAGAGCAGUGUAAGCCAUCUUACUGCCUCGAAAAACACAGUGAACAACUUACAGGUUAAAAAACAAACCCAAAGAGAUUAUUUCCUGCAAAGAGCCUUUAGUAUGGUAGCACCUACUUCUAGAAGGCCUGUCAUAAACUGUCAUCUAGUGAAAGUGAUGAAGAAGAGUGGCUGGGAGUCAAUCUUAUCAGGAGCUGGAACAGGUGAAGCCCUCACCAGUGAAAAAUCUUGACAGAUGCAGCUACUAAGAUUUCCUACUACAAAGAAUAACAGCAGUUAGAAAAGCAGACUCCCUGUGGUGGCGACCAGUAUCUUCAAACUCAUACCAGAGUAAAGCCUUAUCCAUUUGGAGUUCUUUCUGAUGCAUUAUGUGAGAAAAACAAGCAAACAAAUGAACACUUAUUUGUAUUUGAAUUGCACUAAAUUUAUACAUGAAACUGAAAAAAACUGAUAUCUUUAUGAAGCUGCAUAAUCCUAUCCAAGGACAGACGUCUCCUUCCAUUUGAGCCAGCUCUUCUUCAGGAUAAGCAUGCCUGGUUUCUUCAACUUAUUCCACAAGAGUGAACAAGUAAG
rnacentral:lncRNA from 1 species